rnacentral:rRNA from 1 species
CCUACGGGCGGCAGCAGUGGGGAAUAUUGGACAAUGGGCGAAAGCCUGAUCCAGCCAUGCCGCGUGUGUGAAGAAGGCCUUCGGGUUGUAAAGCACUUUCAGUGGGGAAGAAAGCCUUGGGGCUAAUACCCUCGAGGAAGGACAUCACCCACAGAAGAAGCACCAGCUAACUCCGUGCCAGCAGCCGCGGUAAUACGGAGGGUGCGAGCGUUAAUCGGAAUUACUGGGCGUAAAGCGCGCGUAGGCGGUCUGAUAAGCCGGUUGUGAAAGCCCCGGGCUCAACCUGGGAACGGCAUCCGGAACUGUCAGGCUAGAGUGCAGGAGAGGAAGGUAGAAUUCCCGGUGUAGCGGUGAAAUGCGUAGAGAUCGGGAGGAAUACCAGUGGCGAAGGCGGCCUUCUGGACUGACACUGACGCUGAGGUGCGAAAGCGUGGGUAGCAAACAGGAUUAGAUACCUGGUAGUC